rnacentral:rRNA from 1 species
CUUCGGGCCUCUUGCCAUCGGAUGUGCCCAGAUGGGAUUAGCUUGUUGGUGGGGUAACGGCUCACCAAGGCGACGAUCCCUAGCUGGUCUGAGAGGAUGACCAGCCACACUGGAACUGAGACACGGUCCAGACUCCUACGGGAGGCAGCAGUGGGGAAUAUUGCACAAUGGGCGCAAGCCUGAUGCAGCCAUGCCGCGUGUAUGAAGAAGGCCUUCGGGUUGUAAAGUACUUUCAGCGGGGAGGAAGGGAGUAAAGUUAAUACCUUUGCUCAUUGACGUUACCCGCAGAAGAAGCACCGGCUAACUCCGUGCCAGCAGCCGCGGUAACACGGAGGGUGCAAGCGUUAAUCGGAAUUACUGGGCGUAAAGCGCACGCAGGCGGUUUGUUAAGUCAGAUGUGAAAUCCCCGGGCUCAACCUGGGAACUGCAUCUGAUACUGGCAAGCUUGAGUCUCGUAGAGGGGGGUAGAAUUCCAGGUGUAGCGGUGAAAUACGUAGAGAUCUGGAGGAAUACCGGUGGCGAAGGCGGCCCCCUGGACGAAGACUGACGCUCAGGUGCGAAAGCGUGGGGAGCAAACAGGAUUAGAUACCCUGGUAGUCCACGCCGUAAA